AGCCCCCACCUCUCGGCAUGGUGCAAACGUGGAGAACUCCACACUUGAAGCGUAGGGACUUGCACUCUGCCGUUCCAAGGUGACUGCAAAUUUCGCAGUGUAUUGGCUUAUCUACGGUUAGAUAAGGCUCGUCAAUGUUUCAGCACCGGCCCGUGCUGGUUAUAACAAGCAGACUGGACGCUCGCACUGGUCGGCAUCGACGUUUAAAGCCCUUGGACAGCUGACUGUUGACCGUGAAGCGUAGAAAUACGCACAUCUUACAGACAUCUGCUACACCAGAGUCAUCGGGAGAACACACUUCAAAUCCUGUUGUUCGGCCACAGUGCGAGCAAACAAAUGCGAGUGAAGUCCAUUUCUGCACUCACGAAUCUUGUUCAGCUGUAGACUCGUUCCCCAAAGUAUAAGGAGUUGAAAAGUAAUAAUUUGACUCAAGAACGUGUGCUGCAUCCGUGAACUUCCAAGCGUAACGUCAAAAUGACACACAAUGAUGCGGGUUGCCUUUUAUGCCUUCUGUGCCUCGGACUGUGCUCUUGUUGCAUGGAAAUGCAGCAAGAGAUAGAGAGAGAUGCGAAGACCAAGAAGAUGCAGAAGCAAGUGGACGAGCUCGUCGCGUACAAGGUGAGAACCGAGCAGGAAGCGGCGGAGCGGCGCGCGGCGGAGCGGCGAGCGGCGGCGGAAGUAGUGUCAGCGCAGCCCCGGGUAGACGUCGCCCAGGCCAUGCCCCCGCCCCCUUACAGCCCCCGCGAGGCGCCCCCCUACGACUCGGAUAUUCAGCCCUACUACGAGUACGAACGCACCAGCGCACCCUCAGCCCCACCCGCGCCCGCGCCAGAAAAACUGCAAGAGAAGGAUACAAAGACCAUGUCCUAAAGGAGGUGUUGAAGAGAAUGAGAAAUUGCUAGCGGAGGUGGAGGAACCCGUUCUCCAUCGAGGGACAAUAACUGUCUUCUGUGAAUGGCCUCAAAAAGCGUUACGUAUUUUAUGGAUGGCCUCCAAGGUGUUUCGGUCUCGCUGGCUAACCUUACCUGACUGUGUCUCUGACGCUUUUGCUUUGGACAAUAAUUACAAAUUCUGAUGCGUGUGCGCAUGUUUUUUCUUGCACUGACAAGUCUCUAAAGUACAAAGUAUUUUCCUCUUUCGCGAGCUGGAGCGAAUCGUUACAGACGAAUAGGGUGCAGUGUUGUCCGGAUUCCGUGGCACGGAUUCCGUCGCUAGUGUGCAGAAUGGGUUUGCCGUUGGCAGUUUUGAUGCAAAAACCACCACGGAUCUAUUUACCUAUCGGUUUCUGCGAUUCGGGGCUCUCCGACCACAACUGAUUCUACAAUUUAGAUUAACUGUGCAUGAUUUAAGGGGCAUUUUUGAUCAUAAAUGUAUUUUACAUUUUUAAUAAAGGAAACAAUUUUAGAGCAA